rnacentral:rRNA from 1 species
GCAAACUGGAGAUGGCGACCGGCGCACGGGUGAGUAACACGUAUCCAACCUGCCGAUAACUCGGGGAUAGCCUUUCGAAAGAAAGAUUAAUACCCGAUGGCAUAAUAGAACCGCAUGGUUUGAUUAUUAAGAAUUUCGGUUAUCGAUGGGGAUGCGUUCCAUUAGGCAGUUGGUGGGGUAACGGCCCACCAAACCUUCGAUGGAUAGGGGUUCUGAGAGGAAGGUCCCCCACAUUGGAACUGAGACACGGUCCAAACUCCUACGGGAGGCAGCAUG